ACAUUUGAAAUGUAAAUAAAGAAAAUAUCUAAUUAAAAAAAAGGUGAAAAAAGACAUAGUUUGUCCAACAAUGCUAAGAAUCUUAUGUAGAUGGACUGAUUAUAAAUGUACUUAUGAGACUCUGUACUUUGAAUUCUAGUCAUUUUAUGGGCUGGCAAUUUACAGUAUGAUUGAUUCUCUGUUGUGAUGUUUGGCUGUGUCAUGAGAUGGAAUUCAUCAUAAGCAACAUGGCAACGAAAGUGAUUGGUGCUCAGUAUGGUGUGUUGCUAAGCUCUACUCUGUAGGUUAAGUGCAAUAAAUGUAACUUUGAGUUAUAGUAUUCUCAUAGACUGUUGGACACAAGUGGGUCCUAAGUGAGGAAGCAACUUUUUGUCCAACAGUUGAAGACUUAGCAGCUGCUCCAUCCCCCAGUUUAUGAGCUGCAAUAUUUUAAGGUCUUAUAAUUAUGGUUUUGCUAAAUAUUAUCUAUUUCUUCCACAUCUCUACCAUCUGCAUUCUUAUACACAUAUCACUUUUUGAGCUAAAACAAAGAAGCAAACAAAUGAAAAACAGAAAUUAAUUUGAAUUCAGAGGGGGAGACUUUUGCUUAUCCAUAUUGUCAAAUGCCUUGGACUAGGUUCAUUGAAAACUAAAUUUAAGACUGAUUUAAGUGACAAUAAAAUACACAAUGAUUAAAAAUUUGAAGCUUGGGGUCCAAGAGCAUAGACUGUUUGGGUAGAGUACCUGGGUUUCAUUCCCAGCACCCUCAUAGCAGAAUAAAACUAGAUGUAACUUCAGUCCCAGGGGAUACAACACUCUUCUGACCUCUGGAAGCAUCAGGCACACAGAUGGUACAUAGACAAAUAUAUAUAAAACACCUAUAGACAUAAUAACUUUUUAAGAAAUGUUGUACUGUAGCUUCACAUUCUCUAAUUUAUGGUCUUGCCGAAUCCGUGCUCCUGUUGUAUAGACUAAAUCAUCUAGAUCAAUACUUCCUGCCACUCCUUUACAAAAUACAAAAGUAACAUAAUUUCCUUUGUUUAAUAGGGUUUCUCUCAAGGCUGUCUUCUGAGCCUACUCAACUGCAUUAUCCUCUUGAUAAUGACUAUUUUCUCCUACUUUUACUUAAAUCUCUGUCCCUUAAUCAUUCUUCUUCCAAGGCUUUAAAGGAAAGACAAUCCUUUCUUUUAAGGGUCAAUUCAUUUUAUUUUUCAUUAUUAAUGCUCUGCUAUCUCAAGACCCAAGCAUUGUCACCCAAUGUCAAAGGGCUGUCUGUCCUCACAAAGCUAAGUCCUGUAGAAUAAGCAGGUAUCUGCUGCUUUCCUGAAUCAACGAACCCACCUUUCACUAUCUUUCUUAAGCUAUCACAAACAAUAUAAAAGGUAUUCAAAUUCCUAUUGUGCAAAUGUGAUUAUAGAUGAUAACAUGGCCAUCACUUUCUCUGAAAAUAGUUGACUCUUGCUGAAAUGGACAUACAAUUUCCUCUGAAUGAAUAGAUAAAUAAUGGUGUAGAGAGAUACUCAGAAACAAGGGACAAACAAAAACACUGGAAGAUUAGAGACCAGGAAGCUUUGGUAAGGGAUUCACAGAUUUAUUUCCUAAAUUUGUAUAGAACGUAAGGGAAUCCAUGCUCUGAAUGGAUGCUCCCUAGGGCUAUCAAGUCUCUUAGUAGUCACACGAGCAAUACAACAAUCUACCACCUGUGUUGCUAUUAUUUGCCUCUUCUCAUUAUCACUUCACCUUAGAAAAAUGGACUUCACAGAGAGGAAGACACAGCAUGAAGUCAGAAACAUAGAUGUCUCACUAGGCUGAACCUGCUGAGGACUACAUCUGCCAUCAACAGAAACGACACCACAAAAGACUCAAAUCCCAGGGCUCUAACUGAUAACUAAUAUCAGCUGUGCUAAUCUUCAUGACCAACCCUGGACUCUCCGGUGGCCUGAAAGGAACAACUUCCCUGAGGCUGGAUGACUUGUGAGCUUAUCAACAGAGAUUUGAUUUACAGUUCUGUUGCUUCACUCUCAAAACCUCUUGAGCUCUGCUGUAGCCUCUUUAAUUUGUGUUAAUUUUGGAAAUCAUGUAUCUGCAUAAACAUGUGUAUGUAUUUACUGUGUGCUGCACGGCAUGAGAUGAUAUUAGUAAGAUUGAAAAGUUUUCAAAAGACUAUGUUUGCUGCAUUCAGAUUGCUAAAGUAGUUGGGAUUAUCUUACAAAUUAGAGUCACUAUAGUUUGCUAAUUUAUUGUUAUUCAAUAAAUCCUGACAUUAAUAAAAUCACAGAUGUCUCCAUCUAUGUCUGUGUCAUUGUGCAUUCACAA